CCUACGGGUGGCAGCAGUGAGGAAUAUUGGUCAAUGGUCGGGAGACUGAACCAGCCAAGCCGCGUGAGGGAUGAAGGUCCAGAGUAUCGUAAACCUCUUUUGUCAGGGAACAAAGGCGGGGACGUGUCCCCGGAUGAGUGUACCUGAAGAAAAAGCAUCGGCUAACUCCGUGCCAGCAGCCGCGGUAAUACGGAGGAUGCGAGCGUUAUCCGGAUUUAUUGGGUUUAAAGGGUGCGCAGGCGGUCUUUUAAGUCAGCGGUCAAAGCCCGGGGCUCAACCCCUGCCCGCCCUUUGAAACGGGCAGUCUUGAGUUGGAGAGAGGUAGGCGGAAUGCGCGGUGUAGCGGUGAAAUGCAUAGAUAUCGGGAAGAACUCCGAUUGCGAAGGCAGCAUGCCGGCUCCACACUGACGCUGAGGCACGAAAGCGUGGGUAGCGAACAGGAUUAGAUACCCUAGUAGUC
rnacentral:rRNA from 1 species